rnacentral:lncRNA from 1 species
GGACUUUUACUUUAUGGGUUCUGUCAUGUGGUUUAUGGAGGUGGAGUUGCCUUUAAUAAAAACAUUCAUGUUUUCCCUGUGACUUCUGUAUUUUGUUGCUUGAUAUGUCUUUGGGAGAGUAAGAGUUGGGGAUAAAGUCACAGUUGUGACAGGCAAUGAAAGCAGUGCUGUUAAUGGCAGAGCAGUUUAGAAAUAUGCCCAACAAUUGAUAAAUAUUUUUUGGCGACCAUAACUAAUCACUUUGUUAAAAAUGAAUUCAAAAUAAUAAACUGUAUAAAUAUUUUUAAAUGAUUUUUUUUCAUUUUUCAGAUAUUGUUUUGCCACAUGGUCGAACUGCAGACUAUUUGUUUCUUGGAAAUUGUAUUUAUACGUAUGUAGUUGUUACUGUUUGUCUGAAAGCUGGGUUGGAAACUAUGUCAUGGACUAAAGCCAGUGUGAUCCUCGUUUCUCCAUGCUUCUGGCUGGGUUUUGUCCUAGUCCCUACCACAUGUCUGAUUAACGAUGUGUUUUGGAAAUUGUAAGUAUAAAAAUGAAGUGGUAACCAAAAUACAUUGUAGUGCUUAACUACCAUUUUCCAAUUAUACAUAUGUGUUUCUAAUCAAACCCAGAGCCA